rnacentral:rRNA from 1 species
UACGUAGGUGGCAAGCGUUGUCCGGAUUUACUGGGCGUAAAGAGCGCGCAGGCGGUCGUUCAAGUCGCGUGUGAAAGCCCCCGGCUCAACUGGGGAGGGUCACGCGAUACUGAUCGACUCGAAGGCAGGAGAGGGUAGUGGAAUUCCUGGUGUAGCGGUGAAAUGCGCAGAUAUCAGGAGGAACACCAAUGGCGAAGGCAGCACUCUGGGACGUGACUGACGCUGAGACGCGAAAGCGUGGGGAGCAAACAGG